ACAGAUUUGGUCCUAGUCCUAACUUUGGCUUUUUCUAGAAUGAUACAUGCAAGUUAAUAGCGUAACCGUGAGUAAAAUUAUAUACCCUUUAUCUUUUAGAUUAAAGUAUUUCCUAGCAUCAGGCAACRUUAAAAUUUAGCCAAAAACGCUUAGACCCCCACGCCUGCAGUACUUAAUAUUGUACAAUAAGAAAAAACUUGAUACAGCAAUAGAACACCAGGACCGGUAAAUUAUGUGCCAGCCACCGCGGUUAUACAUAAAGUCCCAGUCAAAAACUUUCAUCGGCAUAAAAGUGGUAAAGAUAAAUUAUCCUCAGAGCAAACACUCACUCAAGCAGUAAUAAGCUACACAGAACAUUUAUAACAACCCUAAACCGACUCUGAUACCUUCUUCUGAAACCACGAAAGCUCAAAGAUAAACUGGGAUUAGAUACCCCACUAUAUGAGCUGUCAACAAUAAAAAUGCCAGAGAACUACRAACUAAAGUNNNNNNNNNNNNNNNNNNNNNNNNCAGAUCCCGGUGGAUGCACUGCAUAUAAAUCACGUACAAUUAAAACAAAA
rnacentral:rRNA from 1 species